rnacentral:rRNA from 1 species
AGCAGCCGCGGUAAUUCCAGCUCCAAUAGCGUAUAUUAAAGUUGUUGCAGUUAAAAAGCUCGUAGUUGAAUUUCGGGAUCAACACGUCGGUCGUGCCUUCGGUACGCACUAGCGUCGUUGGUUCCUCCCUUCUGACGAACCAUGAUGUCAUUAACUUGGUGUUUUGGGGAGUUAGGACUGUUACUUUGAAAAAAUUAGAGUGUUUAAAGCAGGCAAUCGCUUGAAUACAUUAGCAUGGAAUAAUGAAAUAGGACGUUCGAUCCUAUUUCGUUGGUUUCUAGGAUCAACGUAAUGAUUAAUAGGGAUAGUUGGGGGCAUUAGUAUUCAAUUGUCAGAGGUGAAAUUCUUGGAUUUAUUGAAGACUAACUACUGCGAAAGCAUUUGCCAAGGAUGUUUUCAUUAAUCAAGAACGAAAGUUAGGGGAUCGAAGACGAUCAGAUACCGUCGUAGUCUUAACCAUAAACUAUGCCGACUAGGGAUCGGAUGAUGUUAAUUUUUAAUGACUCAUUCGGCGCCUUAC